GUCUACAGCCAUGCCACCCUGAACAAGCCCGAUCCUGUCUGAUCUCAGAAGCUAAGCAGGGUCGGGCCUGGUUAGUACUUGGAUGGGAGACCACCUAGGAAGACCAGGUGCUGUGGGCG
rnacentral:rRNA from 1 species